CUCUUUUCUUACAAUAUCAAUUAUACUUCUUUUAAAUUUUUUAAUGGUUGCCCUACAGUUUAAAAUAUACAUUGCUAACUAUGAGUCUACCUUCAAAUAACACUGUAACACUUUACUCAUAGUGCAGGUGCCCCAUAACAGAGUUAUCAAAUCUUCCCUCCAAUCCUCUGUGACGUUGAUAUUUAUUUCACUUAUCCAUA
rnacentral:lncRNA from 1 species